GUGAAGAUUGCAUGAUUUAAUGUAUCUUGUUCCAUGUAUUUUGGAUAUUUUAUCUGCUUUUUCCUAUUUGCAUCCUAUUCUUUUCUCUUACUAAUACUUUGUAAGAUUAUUCAAAAGGAGCUAUGUUUUCUUAGCAGCCAAAACUUGCCAUCUCUUCAUCUUUCUUAUCUUUAACUGUCAUUGUCAAUGAUGAGUAUGCUUCCGUGCCUUUUUUGUUGUUGAUGAGCCUUAUAUGACUCCUGCAAUAAUAAAUUCUAACAUUUUUUAAAUCAAAAGAAAAAAAAAACAGUUAACGUUUUACCUGCCAAAUUUUUUCCCUUUAAAUACAUUUACAGAAUUGAAAGGAUUGAUCAUCAAGCAACGGCAGCCUUCUCUUCCUUUGUCUCCAACCUGAAGAAUCUUCCUGACAGUAGCUACAGCAUGGUUCCUGAAUCUUGCCGCUCAUUGAAAAUAAAGAACACUCAUUAGAAUCAGGUUAUGGGAACUCCAAUCAGCUCAGAAAUAUUUUCACCUGACCCUGCUAUCCAAUACCAUCUUUCAUCUUCUUCAAAUUGUUCUUCUACAUCGAAGAAAAACAAAGUAAAUUCAGUUUUUAAAAGAGUGAACAAAUUACGAGAGAAAGCUGACAAUUUUGCACAAGGAGAUAGAGAGCAUGAUAACUACCAUUCAUUAGAAACGUGGAAAGAAUCAGAACUGAAAACAAGCUAAGUUCUAACUUUUUUUUGAAAUUGCAGUGAGUCUAGGGCCAAAUAUCAGUCAAACCGUAAAAGGGAAGUUUAGCUUGGGUGCUAAAAUUCUUUAAGUUGGUGGUGGUGUGGAGAAAAUAAUCAAGCAGUUGUUCGGAGUAGAAGAAGAUGAGAAAUUGUUGAAUAUUUCUCAAUGCUACCUGUCAACCACUGCAGGUCUCUUGUUUGUCUCCAGUUACAGGGUUGGCUUUUGCAGGGAGAGAUCAGUAAAAUUCUCUUCUCCAAAUGAACUAUCAGUCAGAGUUCAUUACAAGGGUCUGAUCUCACUUGCAAAGGUUAAAAGGGUUAACAAGAGUGAGAAUAUGAAGAAUCCAUCCCAAAAGUACAUGGAAGUAGUUACGGUUGAUGGGUUUGAUUUCUGGCUUUUAGGGUUCUUGAAUUAUCAGAAAACUUUUGUUAACUAUAUUUAGUUAAUUUGUUAGUGUAGAGAUAAGUAUGUAUAAGCUGUAGUAGUUAGAUGUUAUUCUAAUUGUAUUUUUGAUAAGGUUGCUUGUUACGUAAGUAGUUAGAAGUUAUCCUUGUAACAAACUUCUAUAUAUAUUCAGGUUGAAUGAAUAGAGAAAGGUGACAGAAAUUAAUCAA